rnacentral:tRNA from 1 species
UUAAUUGAAACCAAAACUCAGAGGUAUGUUACUGUUAAUAACAACAUUGGAUAAAAUUCCCUAUUAAG